rnacentral:pre_miRNA from 1 species
AUAUAGAGCAAUCUGCCUUUAAACAGAAGUAAAUUAGCCUGAAAUAAAAGAAUCAUAGUUUUCCCUUCAUGUUAAGCAUCUUGU